rnacentral:RNase_P_RNA from 1 species
GCAGACCGAAAGCCGCAAUACUCGUUUCACACAGGAUUCUCUUGAAUCCCCGUUCAUGAGUGGGCUAAGGUCCGAGUGAAAUAGUCCCCUUUACUUGACUCUUGCAGGGUCCGCCUUUCAUUCGGUGAACGACGUAUCAGCAAUUUUCGGACAGACCAACAAAUCCAAAGACCUCCAUUUGCUUGGAGCGAGGAUAUGCGUGGAUCUAGCUCCGAUUUGAACUCGUCGUGGGGGCUGGGCUAUUUUGUCCUCCGAUCGUCUGCUUUUUCCUUCGCCGAGGUGGUUGUUUCCUGGGUUGUUUGAUUACUGCUGAGUAUAACUCGCAGUGUUCUUCAGCUUCUCCGACCUUGUGGUUCCUCUAUACAUCAAAGACAUGAACUCAUGAUCUAUGGUAGCCUCUGUUUCUGCUGGGGGUUCUACUCUUCUCUCAAGACGCCGUGUGAGACACUGGGUUCUCAAUAUAUUCGGUUGCUGUCAGUAUCAAUGGGUUUUCAAAGGUCUGUCAUGGUCUGAUGGCCUGCAGUCCUAUGCAGUUGAUGCUAAUGCUUAAUUUCUGGGUGGUGCAUGAUUGAGCUCUGCCCUCCUGCCCCGAUUAUUUUCUUUGCGGUAGCAGCCAUCCUAUAAACGUGGCGGUUGUGUAGUCUUGUGUUGUAUUGCAGUGCUGGCAGUAGCAAUUGUGCAAUGGGUACAUGGCUUUGGUGGUAUGGCGAAGGAGAAGCGUUUGAGAAGGUCGGGGAUUAUAGCCCUUGAGUGCAAUUUGCGGCGCACGUACUUGUUGCAGUCAAUCCGGAAGACGUGCGGCAGACGUGUAACUCAAUUCGGACUACUCUUGGUCUGC